rnacentral:rRNA from 1 species
UACGGGGGGGGCAAGCGUUGUUCGGAAUUACUGGGCGUAAAGGGCUCGUAGGCGGCCAACUAAGUCAGACGUGAAAUCCCUCGGCUUAACCGGGGAACUGCAUCUGAUACUGGAUGGCUUGAGAUUGGGAGAGGGAUGCGGAAUUCCAGGUGUAGCGGUGAAAUGCGUAGAUAUCUGGAGGAACACCGGUGGCGAAGGCGGCAUCCUGGACCAACACUGACGCUGAGGCGCGAAAGCCAGGGGAGCAAAGCGGG